CACCACCCCGUUUAUCCCACCUUUAUCCCUAUAAAUGAAGCUUCCGAAGAUCUGAAUCGCCUUUCCUCCUUGGAGGUCAAGGCGGUGGACGCAAUAUUCAGGCGUAGGUUGUGCAGUCUGCUUGCACGACUCCUUGGGGGCGGCGUGCGUUUCACGCAGCACAACAGUUGUCUCUUGGCGUAUGGGGUAAACCUAGGCAACCCAGAAGGAUACCAAGGCCAUGGUACUGAAGGCUUGCCAAGAAUUCUAGCAGAAAAGUUAAGGUUAUUUUCCUAGUAUAAAUCAUCCAUGAACACAACCAGUGCAUUUCUCUUCCCAUGCCUGGGUUUGAACUGUGUUUGAAAUGGUUUCAAUGUUUCUUCCAUAACCUUUUGCAGCUCACCUCAAAAACUUCCUCUAAAAGGGGAAGUUAGAGCCCAGGUUAAUGAUGCUCUGAAAUUGCUAGGUCCAGGACCACAUUCAAGGGCUGAAACAUUUCCCCCUCCUAUAAAGAGCUGUUCAUUGCAGCAUAGACCCUUUUCCUUCCCUGACCCUUAAACCAGUCAGAUGGGACAGAGAACCAGCUACCAGAUGGCAGAGUUCAUUACGCAAAGGAUUCUAUGCAUUGGGAUACACAGCCCUCCCGCCCCCCCCAACAUCAUGAGACGUUACGUUCUGAACUAUCCUGCUAGCUUCCGACUCCAAAUAAAUAUAGUUUUAUCUGUAAAACACCCAGAUAAAAGGCUACAGCUAAUUUUUCUUAGCUGCCCGUCCUUGACCAAUUGGGAUUUGAUCACUUUUAAAAGGGCUGUGGAACAGAAUUCUGCAAAUGCAAUAACAACAACAGAGAAGCAAUGUCAUUUCACAACUUUUAUUGCCAAAAUCAUGUCCAAUCAGGUUCACUCACUUUUUUUUACCAAAUCUCACUCCAGGUAUCUCCUCUUGCAUUUUAUCUCCCAGAGUUCCUUAAUAAACCAAGACCAUCACCACUCCGAAAUCAGUGUACAGCAGCCACUAAGGGUACCUUUAUGUUCCAGUAUCAACCAGGUACCCAACAGAAUUAUGCUCCGGAUACUCCCCAAGCUUUCUCCAUGGUUCCUGGGACAGACCAUUCACAUAAUUUAUCUUCUGCAGGAUGGUGGUGGCAUUGUUUAAUGCCAUGGUCACUGUGAUUAGUUUAUGUCUCCACUAUCAGAUAACAUCUGAGCUGCUCCAAGAUGGACACCAGUUUGAAUGUAUGACUGCCCCGUCUGAAGGCCUGGAGUGACUUGGACUAACACUAUAAUAGCUAUGGUAUCCAUGAAAUCCCAAGGAUAAAGGAAGAUUGAAACUUCCGAACAUAUUGAUCUUGGGCAUACUAACCACUAAUUCUGGAGUGACAUUGACCAGCUUGGGCAAGGAUGCUGCUGUAGCACCAACAGAUGGUCUGUAGGAUCCAAAAACACAUAAAAGGCCUCAGG